rnacentral:rRNA from 1 species
AGUGAACGCUGGCGGCAGGCCUAACACAUGCAAGUCGAGCGGCAGCGGGUCCCCGCGAGGGGAUGCCGGCGAGCGGCGGACGGGUGAGGAACACAUCGGAAUCUGCCUGGUUGUGGGGGAUAACGUAGGGAAACUUACGCUAAUACCGCAUGCGACCCUGAGUCGACGGACUUGGGGUGAAAGUGAGGGACCUUCGGGCCUCACGCGACCAGAUGAGCCGAUGUCGGAUAGCUAGUUGGCGGGGUAACGGCCCGCCAAGGCGACGAUCCGUAGCUGGUCUGAGAGGAUGAUCAGCCACACUGGGACUGAGACACGGCCCAGACUCCUACGGGAGGCAGCAGUGGGGAAUCUU